AACUUUUAUACAGUGAUACAAGUCAUUUAAGUCAAUAUUUCAGCACUGUUUUGUAACUGAAUUGUUACAAAAGAAAUCUAGUAUGUAGUAACUUUGUGUCUUUGUAUUCAUAGCGUGUGUCAAAUACGAUUGUGCACCAAGUUCCUGAGAACAGGUGUUCUGCUGCUUUUGAAAAAGAAAAUAAAUAAAGAACUGGAGGAGAAAAAAGGGACAACAGGCGACACAGAAGAUAAUUUAGAUCAUUGUGUGAACUUUCACCAGAUGAGUGACUUAAACCUGUCAUCAGCAACUGUAAUGCCCGGAGAACCAACUGUGUGAAGGGACUGCAGUGAGAAUUCAAGAGCGUCCUGUGGUCCUUCAGAUUUGUCAUUGUGAGCUGUGAAUGAGCAUUGAUUCCUUGGGGAAAGAUGUGUGAGGGAAGAGCUAAAACCAGCAACACUGCUGAAGAAAUGGCUGUAAGAGAUAUUACAGAGACCAAUGAGAUUUCUGACCAACUGGGUUGUAGUUUGUAUUUUAAGAGCCUCAUGAGAGCAAGACAAACUGGAGUUAGCCCUUCUCUUCAAUGAGUGCUUUGGCAGCUGAGCUACCAAGUAAAAACAGAGGACAUAAAGCACCUGCUCUGGUUUAGAAUAAGAGUCCUGCAUCUGAUUUACUUCUGUUCACAUAUUGGAGCUUAAUUGUAAGGACUUAGGAGUAAAAUCUCUCCAAAGGAUACACAUGGAAUUAAAUCAAGUACCUACAAACAGACGUACACAGUGAAAUGUGAGCUGCUUUCUCAGUGUGUGGGUUACUGCCUUGUUGCUAAAUGCCUUCAGCAAAAUCCCUCCCCCCCCCCUCCCCCUUUUUUUAAUUUUUUUUGGCAAAAUUUCUGUUGAAGUAGAGAAGAUGCACACCUGAAUUCCUGCUGUACCUCUGACAGACUACCCCAAAGUUAUUUUUAAGUUUAGAAAAGGAUUUUUGCUUUAAACAAUUUAGAUCCUUGCUUAUCUUAUUGGUUGGCUUUGUUUUCCGUUUUUCCUCGUUUUCUUUUCCCAGUACUAAUUCUUCCUUUUUUGAUAAUCUUGAUGCAGCCUUUACCUCUCUGUAGCAACACAGAGUUCAGUGAGGAGUCGUUAUUGUUAUGUAGAUAUAACAGUAGGGAUCCUUUUAAAAGUGCCUGUGUCAUUUCUUUAUCUACUAUUUCUAAUGCUUUUGGCAGUAAAAUUGAAUUGAUGAUCUAAGAAAGUACACACUUGUCUAGCAUUUAUGCCCCUCCUUAAAGUUAGCUACUGCUUGGAGAAGUGAUGGGAGAGAAGAUAAAACAGAUGUAACCCUACUGCAAAGUUAUGAUACUGAGAGGAAUGGUUGUUAACUGUAUCAAAAAUAAAAACAUGAGGGAAGUCUAGGAAGGGAAAGCC
rnacentral:lncRNA from 1 species